rnacentral:ncRNA from 1 species
AGGCAAACCACCCGAAAGGAUGGGACGCAAAGCCGUGGGUCUAAAGGGAUUUUCUAAGACUGCCAGGUUAC